GACGAACGCUGGCGGCGUGCCUAAUACAUGCAAGUCGAGCGAUCAAGGUUGGUACUUGUUCCACCUGCAUGAGCAGCGAACGGGUGAGUAACGCGUGGGGAAUCUGCCUAUGAGAGGGGGACAACAUCUGGAAACGAAUGCUAAUACCGCAUAAUAACUUUAAACACAAGUUUUAAGUUUGAAAGAUGCAAUUGCAUCACUCAAAGAUGAUCUCGGCUUGUCUUAGCUAGUUGGUGAGGUAAAGGCCCACCAAGGCGAAGAUACAGAGCCGACCUUAAAGGGUGGUCGGCCACAUUGGGACUGGGACACGGCCCAAACUCCUACGGGGGGGAACAGUAGGGGAUCUUCGGCAAUGGACGGAAGGCUGACCGAGCAACGCCGCGGGGGGUGAGAAGGUUUUCGGAUCGGAAAACUCUGUUGAUAGGGAAGAACGUAAGUGGGAGUGAAAAACUCAUCAAGUGACGGUAACUACCCAGAAAGGGACGGCUAACUACGUG
rnacentral:rRNA from 1 species